rnacentral:tRNA from 1 species
GGGGACGUAGCUCAAUCGGGAGAGCGCCUCGUUCGCAACGAGGAGGUUGCGGGUUCGAUCCCCGCCGUCUCCA